CGGUGCUGGGAGCCGUGUAGCAGAUGCAGUGAUGGGGGCAGGACCAGGAGAACUCAAGCCCACAGAGAACCAGCAGGAACUCCAGCCCACAGCCUGUAGACAGCAGACAAACACAUCCAUUGAUUAAGGGAGUGUGUACGUCUACAGCAGUUAAUCUAUGAUGGAAUUGGAUCUACAAAUAUCAAAGAAGCUAUCAUUUUCAACAUUUAAUCCACCAAUUCUGCUGUAAUAAUGUUAAUUCUCCAUUCCUUGAAAUCUAUCACAGCGCUCCGUUUCCUUUACCACCGCAGUGAAUGGAAUGAAUUUUCCUGGAAUAGAUGUAAUACGAUCUUCCAUUUUCUUCCUCUCCAUUUUCUCCACUUAACACUGACAGUAACCAGUUCAUUAAUCACCUCUUUUUAGAAGUACGUAUGGACGGCUGGAGACUAAAUUUGUGUCUCAUUUGUGCAGUUUGGGGUCUGUUUUUAAAGCAAAUCUUUACAAGAUUGAUAGUACAAGUGGGGUAAAAAAUGAAGUGAGGUAAAAAAAAAAUAACAAAAAAAGAGGAUUCACUCGACAAUCCCAACGCGCUGCCGAGCGAGAAAUCCAAGAACAAAGAAAGUCCAAACAUAAAUUUUGAAACGGAGCGUGGGAAAACCAAGUGAACAUCACUGAGGAUUUGGCAGAGAACAAAGAAAACCGAUGAGUGCAUAAUUUAUACAGAGGAAAGUAAUCACUAACAUGAUUGAGGUGUAACUGUCAGUGACAGAAGCCAGCUGUGACAUACAAGACAAAA